GACGAACGCUGGCGGCGUGCUUAACACAUGCAAGUCGAACGAUGAACCCGGAGCUUGCUCCGGUGGAUUAGUGGCGAACGGGUGAGUAACACGUGAGUAACCUGCCCUUGACUCUGGGAUAACUGCGGGAAACUGUAGCUAAUACCGGAUACGACCCUCGGCGGCAUCGCCAGGGGGUGGAAAGAAUUUCGGUCAAGGAUGGACUCGCGGCCUAUCAGCUAGUUGGUGAGGUAACGGCUCACCAAGGCGACGACGGGUAGCCGGCCUGAGAGGGUGACCGGCCACACUGGGACUGAGACACGGCCCAGACUCCUACGGGAGGCAGCAGUGGGGAAUAUUGCACAAUGGGCGCAAGCCUGAUGCAGCAACGCCGCGUGAGGGAUGACGGCCUUCGGGUUGUAAACCUCUUUUACCCGGGAAGAUAAUGACUGUACCGGGAGAAUAAGCCCCGGCUAACUACGUGCCAGCCGCCGCGGUAAUAC
rnacentral:rRNA from 1 species